ensembl:lncRNA
UACACUUUAAAAAAGGUUCUACCAUAUCAUUUCUUACAAGCAUUAAAAAUGUUUGGAAGAUAUGGAAAAAAAAGAAAUGUUUUGAUAUUCUUAGGGGAUUUUCCAGGGAAAAUGUUAGCAAAAGCUGACCUUUUGUAUCAAAUUUUACCCACACAAAUGGGUUCUUCACUGCCAACUUGAUUUUAAGAGGGCCUAAAAAUGUUAUCUAGAAUAAAAAUUAAUUCAAAUGAUGCAUGUCGACAUAUUGCUUGCAUUUUGCAUCAUACAUAUUUUCACAAAUCCCUGGAUAUAACACAACAAAUAGCAUAGGAAGACUCUGAAAGGUGGAAAGAAAAAGCUGGACUGCAUAGUCCUUGGGACUUGAGGAAUGGUACAACAGUGAAUUCUGUGUCCUUAUUAUCUCCUAUAUCUCCUGGUCAGGGCUCUCAGAGGCCUCUAAUCCAGAAUUGCCAAUAGCCGCAGACAAAAUAAAAUGAAAAAAAAAAGUCCUUUUCCCUAGCUAAAGGACCAGGAAAAGUUUCAUUUAACAAUAAAAAAUCAUUUUGGAAAUAUCCACACUACUCCAGCCAAACAUCAAUGAAAAACACCACCUCCCACCUCCAGGAUGUCAAUGGGGUUGAGUGGGAAUUUGAGCUUCCAUGCCACUACCUUGCCCUGUGGCAGCAGAAGGUAGCACUCUAAUUUCUCCUUCCUCCUGGGGUGGGGCCAGCCAGGGCCUUAACCUUCCCAGCAGGGAGCUUAUCUUCCAUUUCUUGCCUGGUGGAAGCAGGCAGCACUCUAAUUCUCCUGCUGAGUGAUGCCAGCAUGUUGUUCCAUCCCCUACCCAGCGCAACCAGCAGGUGCUCCGAUUCUCCCGCAGGGACAGUGUUAGUGAAGCUGAGCAGGGACCUGGUCUUCUAUCUCCCAGUCUUCCAGCUGCCUAGUGGUAGCAGGUGGUGCUCUGAUUCCCCAAGCAGGAUAGUGUUAGUGGGAUCCAGCUGGGAGCCGAGCCUCCACCGCAGGAGGCAUCGAUGAGGCUGAAUGAGGUGGUAGGAGCUAGGGCUAGUUGGCACUCUGCUUCCUCCCAUCUGUUUUCCUGGUGUCAGAGGGGUGCAGCGGGGAGAGAAAGCUGCCUACCCUGCAGCAACAAAGAGGUCUAUGCCCAAGAGGAAUGAAAACCAUGGCGUGCCGAGCUUUGCCAUGUCCACACCCGGGAUCCGAACCAGUGAACCCCGGGCUGCCAAGAAGCAGAACUUGUGCACUUACCCGCAGCACCACUGGGCCGGCCCCUUGAGGUCAUUUGACUUGAGAGUCCACAACUCAGUUUCCUUCAAGACUCAGGAUUUCAGAUGGUAGUGGAAAGAUGAACUCCAUGAACCAUUCCUGCAAAUGGCUGAAAGCUGGCACAAGAAAGACCAAGUUUGCAAAACAAUUUUGUUGACAUCAUGGCAUUGAAGUCUUUCAAAAAUUUUGUGAAAGAAGAACAAUUACCCCCAGUUCGGAAAUUGGAAAACUGAACCUCAGAGAGGCUAAGUCCUGCGUCCAGAGCAAGAAUGUGAAUUCAUACCCAUAUCUGACACUCUUUCAACUGAACUACAGUUUGCUCAGUGAACAGUCUGGAGUUUAGUGUUUGGAGAUAAGGAUGAUAGGGAGAAGUGAGUGGAGGAAGUGACUCUUCAGCUGGGUAUCUUCAGAUUCAGUUGCCUCUUUGAAAUGCCAUUUUGCCUCUUUAAAAAGGGAAAUUCUGUGCUACCCUAAACAUUCUUUGAAUACAAAAUGCAAAUGACCAACCUUGUCCAAUGCUUUCAUUGUGCAGAUAAGGAACCAGAAGUCUAGAGAUAAUAAUAAGGAACAGCUAUCUUCUCACCUGUGUUGCUGCAUUCAACCUGAUGUGACACAAUGUGUCAUGUGGCCUCCUCAAAAUCCGCUGCAAAAUUCACUGGAUGCUCAUGAAAGAAGCAGAGUGAAAAAGACAAAUUAG